GCUCAUUUGUAGCGUGAAACCACGCAGCUCCUCCUCUGGCUGCCACUGUGCUCCUGCUUAUAGGGCAGCUACUCAGCUCAUCUGUGUUUACCCUAAAGAUGGGGGGCAGGCCUAACCUUUCUGUACACCCAGCGUGAAGUGGCUUACCCCUCCGUGAAACUCAGGUGAGCUGCUUCUCUGCCGACUGCAAACUGGGAGCAUCUUCACGGGGAACUUUUCCGCUGAAAUCAAAGUGAAACUUCACCCUGGGCUUUCUUAUUGCUGCCUCCUGAGUCACCACAUCCUUCUCUUGUCACCACCACCUUUCUGUUUAGAAAGUGAUAAUGAGACGCAGUGUUCAGCAGUGAGAACUGGGUCUGUGUGCGAGGAAUGAAUUUACAGAGGGGUUAAAAUUCGCUCUUUGAAAGCAGAGAGCACCAAAAGGUCCACCUGGGGAGUCAGUUGUUGGCGUGCUGCAGUUUUACAGUGCUUCCCUACAUUUCUUGUGGAGACAAGCCCCAAGGAAUCUGAAGACUUGGCUUAUUUUCCUGAUCCUGCAACAGAUCCUGCCUUGCCCGGCUAUGGGUAAGUCUUUUAGGUGCACAUUUUCAAGCGCAGGCUUUAAUUUUAGCCCUCUGGCUUAAGAUAUCCAGAAUCUGUCCUGCGUGUGUAUUAAUCUCUUACAGCUCCAGCCAAAAUUAGCAGAAGCUGCCUGUACACAAAGGUGCACAGAAAAUUAGAUGCUACUUAGGAAAACAAGGCCUGCCCUGUCUUACUCAGCUUGCUUAUGUGUUUAGUGGGGAUGAUAACACCUGUCCAGCUGCGGAGACAUCAGGCUAAAUUAAUUAAGGUUAGCAAAGGAUGUGAAGCAAUUAAUUAGUUUUUGCAGAGUUGCUUGCAUGUGUAGAGGAGAAGAGCUCUUUGAGCACCGUUUCUCCUGCUUUGGUCUUUCUACUGGAUUCAAAUGAGGAUAAACAUUACCUCCUUCACAGAAAGCUCAGCUAAAUGUUAUGUGCCCGUGAAGAGUUUGGUUUUACUUGGAAGGAGUAGGGCAUGAGAUUUUGGUUCCUCUCACUUGUUUAUGAGCAUGAAUUUACUACACAUAAAUCACUGCAGGUCAGAACAUUGCUGUUGCCUUAACACAAAGUAAGAGAGCACAGAAUCACCCUUUAAUGUUGUGCAAUUGGACAGGAUUUGGCUUGUCCUCAUUUUGUGUUUGGAGAACUCGGGCUGCCCUUUGUGCUCGAUGUUCUACCUCUUUUUCUCUUGAAGGUCCAGUGGAGAAAUCCGACUGGGCGCGUUUGCAUCACUCACUCACUGCCUGUUCUUUGUCUGUGUGCAGUGUUUUGCUGAAAUUAAAGCACAGCUUUCUUCUCUUUGCUCACUGUGGGAUUUCCCGGUGUUUCACAAGGCUGCCGUUUGAUGAACAUUUCAAGCUGGCACUGAUGCUGAAAGAAAGAGUCAUGUUUUCUUUAUACCUGUUCCCUUGUAUCUAGUCCAGCGUGCACGUGGAUGUAAGAUGGACCAGAUCAGGGAGGGAAUCUGGCUCAGAAAAUAGCUGUUUCUGUCUUGUAAUCACAUUUGUUUUAUGUGGUUCCCUUUCAUGACAGGGCUUAGCAGCAGGGCAAAGAAGAGGAGCUGGGAAGAGAAGGAGGAGAGGCCAGGCUUCUCCAGGUGGAGAGCCUUGCUGUUUCCCACCCCGUGUCUCUUUGUCUCUCACUCUACUAUCUCCUGGAGUUGGCAACAAGUUAAUGUGACUCGGGAGCCAGAAGAGUUCAGCUCAAAGCAGCUGCAGAAAAAAAGCAUCCUGCUGCAGAAGAGCCAAUGGCCCUGGGAACAGACUGCUUUUAUAAAAAGCCUUACGAGAGCCAGAUGCCCCCUACCCUGACAAAGACUGAUCAGGUGGCUGCUGGUAUCGCCUUUCACUGCUCUUUGGCAAGGGUGGAAACACAGAAUGAUGGUGAGUUUUCAGGUGGAGAUGUAUUUUAUUUUUGCUUCGGUGAUGCAGAUGGAAAGAGUCGUUCCAUGCUAAGCAGCGCCGGCAUAGGGACAAAAAGGAGGACUAUGGGUGUCUAGGAGCAUGCAUGCAAUCACUGUAAUUCUCACACACAGGGUGCCAUGGAUUUAUGCUUUGUGAGAGGUCAGGUCAGAUCAUCAGCAUGGAAAAUAAAUCCAUUGGAUGUAUCUCCCGGGGGGUGCAGGAGGCUGUGCUGCAAGUCUCUUGGCACGGGGUGAGUUUUGGACGGGCAAUCACUUUGCAGAUCGGAGAAGGGAGGAAUCCACGUUGAGCCGAGCCGCAAGUCUUUGCAGAACCAAAGCACUGAUUCUUCCUGCAACAGCUCUUGGGUCGCUUCUGAGCCGGGUGGGAAGUCGGGGUGUUUCUUCAAAAUGCCACAUAGGGCUUGCAGAGAUUAUUCACGCCCUUUCCUGCAGCGUUGCAACAAAAUCCCCCUCUUUUUCCUUCCCUCUCUCAUAAUCUGGAUCCUGCUCACACCGGUACCUAACACGCAUCUCAUGAAUUAUUUGGGGGAUGAAACAGAAACUCCCUGCCCAAUCCAGCAGCCUGAUAGGUUUUUAUCUCAAGAUGAUGAUGAUGUUUAUUUUGAUGUUUAUUUUUGUACCUUUGUAAAUGCCGAGAGAUGCGACACGACUCCAACCCUAAACUCUCUCCCACUUCACUUUCAGGCAGUCCCCCAGCACUUCCCCACCCGAGCGGCCGCAGCAGGUGAUCCGCGGAGGAAGAGGAGGAUGAAGCCCGGCGUGCGAGCCAGCCCCGCCGGCUGCCGAGUGCCACCAGAGGGUGCUGCGCCGUACCGCCGGCCGGCAGGGACGGAUGGGAACGGGAGGGAUGCGAGAGGGACGCGGGAGGCUGCGGCCCCAGCCAGCUCCCUGCCUGCCAGCUCCUGCUGUGGUUGCCAGGCUGCUCGGUUUGGUUGCCCCGCAGCUAGCUAGUUCCGUCUGAUGGACCUCAGCUCCCUCUGGAGAAAACAAACGUUUGUGGCCGUGUUGAUGUGCAAGGAGGAAAACAUCGACACCGCAGAUAACGUGGUUGUUGUAACUUAAAAAUGCUGACUCACUGGCACUGUGUGCCAACACAAAUGUUGCUGCGGAAAUCAAUCAUCAUGAGAGCCUGGCGAGAUAUAACCCCACAGUGGCGCAGGCUUUGAAUGGGCCUCUUUGGUCAUUCCAAGUUUCUUCUUCAGACAAUUCGCCCGGAAACUUCCUUCUUGUCAGGAUUUCCAAUUUGCAGUUUGGGCUACGGAUGUAAAGGACCAAAUCCUGCACUAGUUUAAGUCUGUAAGAGCCAUGGAACUACGUCCAUGCACGUGAGAACACAGGAUGCUGAAAUCAUUCCGCCAUUUUGAAAAGCACACGGUCUAGAGGACUGAUGCUGAGAGAUGUCGUUUAGGAUUAUCUAAUUCCUGAACCUGUAAAUCCUGAUGUAAAUAUAGCUUUUCCCCUGGCUAUACACUUUUAGUGGUGAAGAGAUUCUUUAAAAAAAUAAUAAUAAAAAAUUAGAUGUUAGAUGCUGUGCAUCCAGAGCCCCUUACUGGAGUUAUAACACCUUCUUAACAGCAUUGUAC
ensembl:lncRNA